AUGCAUACCUGGCAGGGGAGAUACCGUGACCAUGAUGGUGGUUCUCCCAGGGAGAGACUUACACAUUGCACUCUGGCUGUGCUGACCCUGUGAUUUCCCCCAAAUAUGGAAAACUCGACUGCAUCAUUUGUCGUAGUGGGGGACUGCAUUCGUGCUUUCCCCUA